UCUUGCUGCCACCUCCACUUUAAUGUCAGUUUUGGUGAGACAGCUCUGAUUUACAAUAAAAAAUACAUUUUCCACUGAGAGAAACUCAACAAAUUCCCUUUGAGCAGCACUUGGUGGCAGUGCCUGCUUUUGUGCAGUGGUUUCACACAGUCAUGACGGAAUAAAUAUUGUAUUUUCUGCUCAAUAAAUUCAAAAAUCAACCUUCUCGAGUCAUCACAGUAGCAGAAAACACAGAAAAGAACACGUAGAAAUCAAUGUCAUGGCCUGCUUCUCUUCUACAUGCCCUUGGGAUCGCUUGAUUUGUUGCUUACCUCCUGGGAUGUUUUUUUUAAUCUAAAACAAUGAAUUGUUGUUUUUUUUUUUUAAUCAUAUCUGCGUGAUAAAAGGUUUCCAGAGAAACAUCCCUCCACGGCUAUGAUGGGAGAUCUGCAUAGCGAGCAGGCGUGGAUCCCCGUCAUGGCAGCACCUUUGGGAGUCAGCUGCGCGCUGACGGCAGAAACCGUGUGUGCGCAUUCAUCACAGCGCGCUGGCGCUGCCUCUGACUCACAGAUACCCGGCCCAUUAAGUCUGCAGAGAUAAACACUCCCCUCCUUCUCCGUUCCCCUCUGCCUCGCUUCCCCACUCCGUGGCUACACUUUUUUCAGGGAGGGGGUGAAAAAUAAUGAGACCUCGCAGCAUUUAGUCACUCAACUGCAGCGAGAACUUGUAAGAAUGAAAUUUUGGCGAAAAAAAGAGCAGGAAGCCUCUGGAUGACCCUGUCAGAAUGAAGUCCCUCUUUGCCUACAGAGAUCAGGCCAAAAUGAAAACAUUGCGCUCUUGUUUUCCAGGACUCCCGAACCUCCACUGUCGUCUGUCUCCAUCGUCCCUUUCACAAACACAGACAAAGCUCUAACCCACUUUACUUUAUUGCUUUGUUUUCCAGGCCCGUGGGAAACCACAGUUUGGACCAAUGACAGUACAUGAGAACGGGAUCGAACAAAUAAACAGCAGAGGAACGUUUGACAGCACGGAAAAGAAGAGUGAACGGUGUUAAAGGAAAUAAAGGAGGAUUUAUCAAUCCAUGAUGGACAACCCUACAACGGGAGGGGUUACAAUCUUCCCUCGGCACAAAAGGACGAAGAUGUGAUGGCCAGCUGGGACAUGGGGCUCAUUUAGGAGACAUCACAGGGUGAAUUUUGAAGGAGCCUUUUUGAAGAGGAUGUUGGGAUCAUAAGAUCUCUGACAUGUCCCCGGCUCCGAGUGCUCGCCUGAUGACUCACCACCAAAAAGGGUGGAACACCUGGGUCACUUGGGACAAACUCCAGUUUGUUUUUCUACCACCUGUGCAAGAGAACAUCUUUCGGAAGACUAGGAUUAAAGAGAGAAAUUGUGUUUAUUUUAAAAGCUGCAGGUGAAAUUGCCCCAGCAGGUGGGUACAAUGAGCAAGCCGCCAGCGGAUCAAGAUUGAGA